GGGUUUUGGCGACAGCCGCUGACCAUGGCGAAGGCGCGCUUCUCACUCGUCCUCGCACAAGUUUUUGGACUGGGGCGAGUAUGGAAAGGUAGCUGCCACUGUGACCCAGCUAAAUCUGUCACUUGGAUCUAAUACGCAGUAGAAUAAAGACCGGGUGUCUCAAAGAAGUUAUUUCGAGUCUCACACGCAAGACCUCAGCACUCCACAAAGUUCCAGAAGAGAGCUAGCCGAGAGGGAGGCGACUUGCAGAGUCAAAGUACAGCUCCCUUAUCAAGGUUCAAGAUGGGAGCCCCGCUUGUCUUCUUCAUCCGCGCCAUUUUUGGCCAAAUCCAUGCGGCGCAUGCGCAGAACACCACAGUUGGCAAGCUCGCAGAUAUUUAAAAAUCGCUAAGUCAAUCAAUCUCUCGAGAAAAGUAUGCUACAGCAGCUCUUCAUCGAGGAGAAGAUACGCACAGAUGCCGACUCCGGAGUCAAACAAAUCCGGAAUUUCUGGACAGGAAUUCGGCCGUACCACAGCGCUACCCACACCAAGCCCUAGGCCUGCUCUCCAUUCACGACCACUCCAACAAUAUCCGCACUGUAGGGCUGGGAGAGUUCGUGGCUGUGCUGAAUGGGCUGGAGUUCCGCACAAGGCACAAUGACUACAGACUUUACAAGCCGCAUAGGACAAGCAAGGAGGCAAGAUGCACGAGUGUGGCUAGCGGCACUCGAAUCUUCUUCCCGCACAUCCCGGGUAUCGGGCGACUCCGUUAACGCUACCUCAUCCACCCUGUAUACGGGGAAGGGAACAUCUCGGUGUGGAAGGAGCUAGAGGCUGUCAAGGAUCUCCUCCUAAAUUCCGAGAACUACCGGUUCGCCUUCCGCGAGCCACUAGCGACACCGAAGGAGGGGGAAGAGUCCGAAGCUACCUUACCUCCUGGUGGGAAGGUGGUGCUGCAGUUGGG